rnacentral:rRNA from 1 species
AUUGAACGCUGGCGGAAUGCUUUACACAUGCAAGUCGAACGGCAGCACGGGGGCAACCCUGGUGGCGAGUGGCGAACGGGUGAGUAAUACAUCGGAACGUGCCCGGUCGUGGGGGAUAACGUAGCGAAAGUUACGCUAAUACCGCAUACGAUCUGAGGAUGAAAGCGGGGGACCUUCGGGCCUCGCGCGAUCGGAGCGGCCGAUGUCAGAUUAGGUAGUUGGUGGGGUAAAGGCCGACCAAGCCGACGAUCUGUAGCUGGUCUGAGAGGACGACCAGCCACACUGGGACUGAGACACGGCCCAGACUCCUACGGGAGGCAGCAGUGGGGAAUUUUGGACAAUGGGCGCAAGCCUGAUCCAGCCAUUCCGCGUGCAGGACGAAGGCCUUCGGGUUGUAAACUGCUUUUGUAUGGAACGAAAAGGCUCUGGCUAAUACCUGGGGCUCAUGACGGUACCGUAAGAAUAAGCACCGGCUAACUACGUG